rnacentral:tRNA from 1 species
GCAUCACUGGUUUAGUGGUAAAAUCCAUCGUUGCCAUCGAUUGGCCCCGUGUUCGAUUCACGGCUGAUGCA